GUUAUAUGGUCAAGUGAAGAAGCGCAUACGGUGGAUGCCUUGGCAGUCAGAGGCGAUGAAAGACGUGGUAGCCUGCGAAAAGCUUCGGGGAGUCGGCAAACAGACUUUGAUCCGGAGAUCUCUGAAUGGGGGAACCCACCUAGGAUAACCUAGGUAUCUUGUACUGAAUCCAUAGGUGCAAGAGGCGAACCAGGGGAACUGAAACAUCUAAGUACCCUGAGGAAAAGAAAUCAACCGAGAUUCCCUUAGUAGUGGCGAGCGAACGGGGAUUAGCCCUUAAGCUUCAUUGAUUUUAGCGGAACGCUCUGGAAAGUGCGGCCAUAGUGGGUGAUAGCCCCGUACGCGAAAGGAUCUUUGAAGUGAAAUCGAGUAGGACGGAGCACGAGAAACUUUGUCUGAACAUGGGGGGACCAUCCUCCAAGGCUAAAUACUACUGACUGACCGAUAGUGAACCAGUACCGUGAGGGAAAGGCGAAAAGAACCCCGGAGAGGGGAGUGAAAUAGAACCUGAAACCGUAUGCGUACAAGCAGUGGGAGCCUAMUUGUUAGGUGACUGCGUACCUUUUGUAUAAUGGGUCAGCGACUUAUAUUCAGUGGCAAGCUUAACCGUAUAGGGUAGGCGUAGCGAAAGCGAGUCUUAAUAGGGCGUUUAGUCGCUGGGUAUAGACCCGAAACCGGGCGAUCUAUCCAUGAGCAGGUUGAAGGUUAGGUAACACUGACUGGAGGACCGAACCCACUCCCGUUGAAAAGGUAGGGGAUGACUUGUGGAUCGGAGUGAAAGGCUAAUCAAGCUCGGAGAUAGCUGGUUCUCCUCGAAAGCUAUUUAGGUAGCGCCUCAUGUAUCACUCUGGGGGGUAGAGCACUGUUUCGGCUAGGGGGUCAUCCCGACUUACCAAACCGAUGCAAACUCCGAAUACCCAGAAGUGCCGAGCAUGGGAGACACACGGCGGGUGCUAACGUCCGUCGUGAAAAGGGAAACAACCCAGACCGCCAGCUAAGGUCCCAAAGUUGUGGUUAAGUGGUAAACGAUGUGGGAAGGCUUAGACAGCUAGGAGGUUGGCUUAGAAGCAGCCACCCUUUAAAGAAAGCGUAAUAGCUCACUAGUCGAGUCGGCCUGCGCGGAAGAUGUAACGGGGCUCAAACCACACACCGAAGCUGCGGGUGUCACGUAAGUGACGCGGUAGAGGAGCGUUCUGUAAGCCUGUGAAGGUGAGUUGAGAAGCUUGCUGGAGGUAUCAGAAGUGCGAAUGCUGACAUGAGUAACGACAAUGGRUGUGAAAAACACCCACGCCGAAAGACCAAGGGUUCCUGCGCAACGUUAAUCGACGCAGGGUUAGUCGGUUCCUAAGGCGAGGCUGAAAAGCGUAGUCGAUGGGAAACAGGUUAAUAUUCCUGUACUUCUGGUUACUGCGAUGGAGGGACGGAGAAGGCUAGGCCAGCUUGGCGUUGGUUGUCCAAGUUUAAGGUGGUAGGCUGAAAUCUUAGGUAAAUCCGGGGUUUCAAGGCCGAGAGCUGAUGACGAGUCGUCUUUUAGAUGACGAAGUGGUUGAUGCCAUGCUUCCAAGAAAAGCUUCUAAGCUUCAGGUAACCAGGAACCGUACCCCAAACCGACACAGGUGGUCGGGUAGAGAAUACCAAGGCGCUUGAGAGAACUCGGGUGAAGGAACUAGGCAAAAUGGCACCGUAACUUCGGGAGAAGGUGCGCCGGCUAGGGUGAAGGAUUUACUCCGUAAGCUCUGGCUGGUCGAAGAUACCAGGCCGCUGCGACUGUUUAUUAAAAACACAGCACUCUGCAAACACGAAAGUGGACGUAUAGGGUGUGACGCCUGCCCGGUGCCGGAAGGUUAAUUGAUGGGGUUAGCGCAAGCGAAGCUCUUGAUCGAAGCCCCGGUAAACGGCGGCCGUAACUAUAACGGUCCUAAGGUAGCGAAAUUCCUUGUCGGGUAAGUUCCGACCUGCACGAAUGGCGUAACGAUGGCGGCGCUGUCUCCACCCGAGACUCAGUGAAAUUGAAAUCGCUGUGAAGAUGCAGUGUAUCCGCGGCUAGACGGAAAGACCCCGUGAACCUUUACUGUAGCUUUGCACUGGACUUUGAGCCUGCUUGUGUAGGAUAGGUGGGAGGCUUUGAAGCGUGGACGCCAGUUCGCGUGGAGCCAUCCUUGAAAUACCACCCUGGCAUGCUUGAGGUUCUAACUCUGGUCCGUAAUCCGGAUCGAGGACAGUGUAUGGUGGGCAGUUUGACUGGGGCGGUCUCCUCCUAAAGAGUAACGGAGGAGUACGAAGGUGCGCUCAGACCGGUCGGAAAUCGGUCGUAGAGUAUAAAGGCAAAAGCGCGCUUGACUGCGAGACAGACACGUCGAGCAGGUACGAAAGUAGGUCUUAGUGAUCCGGUGGUUCUGUAUGGAAGGGCCAUCGCUCAACGGAUAAAAGGUACUCCGGGGAUAACAGGCUGAUACCGCCCAAGAGUUCAUAUCGACGGCGGUGUUUGGCACCUCGAUGUCGGCUCAUCACAUCCUGGGGCUGAAGCCGGUCCCAAGGGUAUGGCUGUUCGCCAUUUAAAGUGGUACGCGAGCUGGGUUUAGAACGUCGUGAGACAGUUCGGUCCCUAUCUGCCGUGGACGUUUGAGAUUUGAGAGGGGCUGCUCCUAGUACGAGAGGACCGGAGUGGACGAACCUCUGGUGUUCCGGUUGUCACGCCAGUGGCAUUGCCGGGUAGCUAUGUUCGGAAAAGAUAACCGCUGAAAGCAUCUAAGCGGGAAACUUGCCUCAAGAUGAGAUCUCACUGGGAACUUGAUUCCCCUGAAGGGCCGUCGAAGACUACGACGUUGAUAGGCUGGGUGUGUAAGCGUUGUGAGGCGUUGAGCUAACCAGUACUAAUUGCCCGUGAGGCUUGACCAUAUAACACCCAAACA
rnacentral:rRNA from 1 species